AAUAGAUACCCGGGUAGUCCACGCCGUAAACGAUGAGUGCUAAGUGUUGGGGGGUUUCCGCCCCUCAGUGCUGCAGCUAACGCAUUAAGCACUCCGCCUGGGGAGUACGGUCGCAAGACUGAAACUCAAAGGAAUUGACGGGGGCCCGCACAAGCAGUGGAGCAUGUGGUUUAAUUCGAAGCAACGCGAAGAACCUUACCAGGUCUUGACAUCCCGGUGACCACUAUGGAGACAUAGUUUCCCCUUCGGGGGCAACGGUGACAGGUGGUGCAUGGUUGUCGUCAGCUCGUGUCGUGAGAUGUUGGGUUAAGUCCCGCAACGAGCGCAACCCUUAUUCUUAGUUGCCAUCAUUCAGUUGGGCACUCUAAGGAGACUGCCGGUGAUAAACCGGAGGAAGGUGGGGAUGACGUCAAAUCAUCAUGCCCCCUAUGACCUGGGCUACACACGUGCUACAAUGGACGGUACAAACGGUUGCCAACCCGCGAGGGGAGCUAAUCCGAUAAAACCGUUCUCAGUUCGGAUUGUAGGCUGCAACUCGCCUAC
rnacentral:rRNA from 1 species